GGGCUGCCUUGCCAGGUCCAGCCCAGCUGACUUACAGGACUGAGGGCCACAGGACGGUGCCCAUGGACAGGAUAUUGCAUCCCCACCGGGCCCCAAGACAUUCCCCAGACCACCAAUGUGUCCAGGCUUGCAUUCUCUGAGACUUGGACCCUCCAGGAAGCAUGAUAAGUUUUCCUUCAGGGGAGCGCCAUGGACCUUGGAGCCCUGAACUCGAAGCGCAUCCUCUGGCCGGGUCAUGCCAAGGCUUGUGAUGCAGCCCAAGGGGGUGUUCCGAGAAUCAGGGAGCAUCGGUGCACAAUUCCAGGUGCAGGGUAAGCGUAUGGCCUCCUCGGGAGCUGGGGAUGGUCCCCAACCUUUCCAAAGAGCACCGUGUGGGAGGGGGAGGGAAAGUGACUCUGCAGAGGAGACACCUGAGGGACACACCUGAGCCAGGC
rnacentral:lncRNA from 1 species